UAUUGCAAGUACCUUACGAAUAAGCAUCGGCUAAUUCCGUGCCAGCAGCCGCGGUAAUACGGAAGAUGCAAGUGUAUCCGGAUUUAUUGGGUUAAAGGGUGCGUAGGUGGUCUAAUAAGUCAGUGGUGAAUCUCUUUGCUUAACAAGGAAAUUGCCAUUGAAACUGUUAGACUUGAGAAUGGACGAGGUAGGCGGAAUUCGUAGUGUAGCGGUGAAAUGCAUAGAUAUUACGAAGAACUCCAAUAGUGUAGACUGCUUACCAGACCAUAUCUGACACUAAGGCACGAAAGUGUGGGUAUCAAACAGGAUUAGAUACCCUGGUAGUCCACACAGUAAACGAUGAAUACUAACUGUUUGCGAUAUACAGCAAGUGGUCGAGCGAAAGCGUUAAGUAUUCCACCUGGGAAGUAUGCCGGCAACGGUGAAACUCAAAGGAAUUGACGGGGGCCCGCACAAGCGGAGGAACAUGUGGUUUAAUUCGAUAAUACGCGAGGAACCUUACCCGGGCUCGAACGAUAUUUGAAUACAUCCGAAAAGAUGUAGCUAGCAAUAGCAAAUACCGAGGUGCUGCAUGGUUGUCGUCAGCUCGUGCCGUGAGGUGUCGACUUAAGUGUCAUAACGAGCGCAACCCUUACCGAUAGUUACCAUCAGAUAAUGCUGGGGACUCUAUUGGGACUGCCACCGUAAGGUGUGAGGAAGGAGAGGAUGACGUCAAAUCAGCACGGCCCUUAUGUCCGGGGCGACACACGUGUUACAAUGGGAGAAACAAAGGGUCGCUACCUGGCAACAGGAUGCUAAUCUCGAAAAUCUCUCUCAGUUCGGAUUGGAGUCUGCAACUCGACUCCAUGAAGCUGGAUUCGCUAGUAAUCGCACAUCAGCCAUGGUGCGGUGAAUACGUUCCCGGGCCUUGUACACACCGCCCGUCAAGCCAUGGAAGCUGGAAGUACCUGAAGUAUGUAACUGAAAAGAGCGUCCUAAGGUAAANNA
rnacentral:rRNA from 1 species